AACGAACGCUGGCGGCAGGCUUAACACAUGCAAGUCGAGCGCCCCGCAAGGGGAGCGGCAGACGGGUGAGUAACGCGUGGGAACGUACCUUUUGGUUCGGAACAACUCCGGGAAACUGGAGCUAAUACCGGAUAAGCCCUAACGGGGAAAGAUUUAUCGCCGAAAGAUCGGCCCGCGUCUGAUUAGCUAGUUGGUGAGGUAACGGCUCACCAAGGCGACGAUCAGUAGCUGGUCUGAGAGGAUGAUCAGCCACACUGGGACUGAGACACGGCCCAGACUCCUUCGGGAGGCAGCAGUGGGGAAUAUUGGACAAUGGGCGCAAGCCUGAUCCAGCCAUGCCGCGUGAGUGAUGAAGGCCUUAGGGUUGUAAAGCUCUUUUGUCCGGGAAGAUAAUGACUGUACCGGAAGAAUAAGCCCCGGCUAACUUCGUG
rnacentral:rRNA from 1 species